rnacentral:rRNA from 1 species
CGAUGACCCCCAGCUUGCUGGGGUGAUUAGUGGCGAACGGGUGANUAACACGUGAGUAACCUGCCCCUGACUCUGGGAUAANCCCGGGAAACUGGGUCUAAUACUGGAUAUGCACCGUAAGCCGCAUGGCUUUUGGUGGAAAGAUUUUUUGGUCAGGGAUGGACUCGCGGCCUAUCAGCUUGUUGGUGAGGUAAUGGCUCACCAAGGCGACGACGGGUAGCCGGCCUGAGAGGGUGACCGGCCACACUGGGACUGAGACACGGCCCAGACUCCUACGGGAGGCAGCAGUGGGGAAUAUUGCACAAUGGGCGAAAGCCUGAUGCAGCGACGCCGCGUGAGGGAUGACGGCCUUCGGGUUGUAAACCUCUUUCAGUAGGGAAGAAGCGAAAGUGACGGUACCUGCAGAAGAAGCGCCGGCUAACUACGUGCCAGCAGCCGCGGUAAUACGUAGGGCGCAAGCGUUAUCCGGAAUUAUUGGGCGUAAAGAGCUCGUAGGCGGUUUGUCGCGUCUGCCGUGAAAGUCCGAGGCUCAACCUCGGAUCUGCGGUGGGUACGGGCAGACUAGAGUGAUGUAGGGGAGACUGGAAUUCCUGGUGUAGCGGUGAAAUGCGCAGAUAUCAGGAGGAACACCGAUGGCGAAGGCAGGUCUCUGGGCAUUAACUGACGCUGAGGAGCGAAAGCAUGGGGAGCGAACAGGAUUAGAUACCCUGGUAGUCCAUGCCGU